rnacentral:lncRNA from 1 species
ACCGAGACGAGAGGUCCCAUGUAAGACUAUGUUUGGGACAUGGCGUUGGCACCGAGAUGAGAGGUCCCCUAUAAGACCAUGUCUGGGACAUGGCAUGGACACCAUCACGAGAACAUCCCAUGUAAGACCAUGUCUGGGACAUGGCUUUGGCAUGUUAUUAUCAGAAGAGACCCGAGUAUCCUUAUUAUUCCAAUGUAGCUCAACGGGCUUGUAAACGAAUCAUGUUCAUGAAAGUUCAGUUUAAAGCAUAAAUGGCAAGCUCAGGUAAGUUGUAAGACUUAAGAACUUAUUAUACUAUCAAUUGAUGUUCAACGAUGCAGCAAGGAUUGAGUAAGUUAUGCACACAAGUAUUCUAAGUAAACAAGUAAGAGAACUAGUAUGCGAUUAACUAAAGAGUAAACUAGAGAUAUAGACAUUGAGUUUAAUUAUUUAAGUUAAAUAUUGUUAUUUAUUUGCUAGUAAACUUACUAAGCUUUAUGCUUACUUCUUUUAUUUCUCUUUCUCUUAUAGUAUUGCAAAGCUACUUCAAGGAUCCUAAAGAAGUCGGAGAUCGUCCACACUAUCAACUACAACUGCUCGGUAUUUUAUAUCGAAACACGUUUGAGUUAUGGCAUGUAUAGGGAUUUAGUUAUUUUGUAUGUUUGUAAUGAUGAUUUUGCUAAUGAGUGAUGUGUAAGUAUUUGAUGAUGUAUGGUUAUUAAAAUGAUUAAGGAUGAAGGUGUUUGUUGUUAUGAAAGAUUAGGUGAUAAAUUAUGCAUGGAAAUCAUGAAAGGAUAAAAUUUUGCAAAGAAACAGAAUUCAGGCAGCACAGUGACGUGAAUUUGAAAAAUCACCCAAGAUAGUAUAAAAUGAAUUAGAGGGUGAAUGAUAUAUGGAAUUAAAGCUUGUUGAGUCUAUUUUCAUGGAAAAAUAACGGUGUAGAAAAAUGAAAUUUAUAUUUUAAGAUAUGUGAAUUUUAGUAAGAUAAGGACAGAACUGUUUUUGGAGUCCCCUGUUCUAAACUCAGAACUAUUUUGUAUUUCAGUUAUGACAGCUCAGAGGUGUGUUAGAAAAGGGUAUGAUGUUUAUUUGGCGUAUGUGUUGGAUACUAAGGUAUCUGAGUCAAAGAUACAGGCAGUGCCAGUUGUAUGUGAAUUUUCUGAUGUAUUUCCAGAGGAGUUACCAGGGUUGCCACCAGAAAGAGAAGUGAAAUUUUCUAUAGAUCUGAUUCCGGGAACUGCCCCAAUUUCCAUAGCUCCGUAUCGUAUGGCUCCUACAGAAUUAAAAGAGUUAAAGGCACAGUUACAGGAACUUGUUGACAGAGGUUUUGUUCGUCCGAGUCAUUCACCUUGGGGUGCUCCAAUUCUGUUUGUGAAAAAGAAAGACGGGUCUUUGAGAUUGUGUAUUGACUAUCGGCAGCUUAAUAAGGUAACUAUAAAUAAUAAGUACCCAUUGCCUCGAAUUAAUGACUUAUUUGAUCAACUGAAAGGUGCCACAGUAUUUUCAAAGAUUGAUCUCCGAUCGGGUUAUUAUCAGUUACGAGUAAAAGAGCCAGAUGUGCCAAAGACAGCUUUCAGAACCAGGUAUGGGCAUUAUGAGUUUCUGGUUAUGCCGUUUGGGUUGACUAAUGCACCUGCAGUAUUCAUGGAUUUGAUGAACCGGAUAUUCAGACCGUAUCUAGAUAGGUUUGUAGUAGUUUUUAUUGAUGACAUUUUAGUUUAUUCUCGGGAUGAAACUGAGCAUGCAGAACAUUUGAAAAUAGUGUUGCAAAUUCUGCGUGAAAAGAAACUUUAUGCUAAAUUCAGUAAAUGUGAAUUUUGGCUUCGAGAGGUAGGUUUUCUCGGACAUAUUGUAUCCGCAGAAGGCAUCAGGGUAGAUCCGAGUAAAAUUUCAGCUAUUGUCAAUUUGAGUCCACCGAAGAAUGUAUCUGAAGUUAGAAGUUUCUUGGGUUUAGCUGGUUAUUAUCGAGAUUUGUACAAGGGUUUUCUAUGAUAGCUUCUCCAAUGACCCGUUUAUUACAGAAAGAUGUUAAAUUUGAAUGGACAGAAAAAUGCUAGCAAAGUUUCGACCGAUUGAAGGAGUUGUUGACGAAAGCACCUGUGUUGGUACAGCCUGAAUCGGGUGGCUUGAAUUGAUAAAGGAUUAUGAUUUGGUUAUUGAUUACCAUCCGGGUAAGGCUAACGUGGUAGCUGAUGCUUUGAGCCGAAAAUCUUUAUUUGCUUUACGAGCUAUGAAUACCCGGUUGUCACUGUCUAAUGAUGGUUCAAUCAUAGCUGAAUUGAGAGCUAAAUCGACAUUUCGUCAACAAAUAUGUGAAGCUCAGAGGAAUGAUGAGAAAUUACAGGCUAAACGGGUGCAUUGUGAGUCAGGUAAUGAUUCAGAAUUUCAGAUUGGAACUGAUGGUUGUUUAUUAUUCAGAGGCAGAGUAUGUGUACCGAAGAAUUCAGAACUUGUACAGAAGAUUUUACACGAAGCACACAGUGGUAUUAUGUCCGUACAUCCGGGAGGUAAUAAAAUGUAUAAUGACUUGAAAAAGAUGUAUUUGUGGCCGGGUAUGAAACGUGAUAUCUCUGAGUUUGUAUCAAGAUGUUUGGUAUGUCAACAGGUUAAAGCUGAACAUCAGGUACCUUCGGGGUUGCUUCAGCCAAUUACUAUACCAGAAUGGAAAUGGGAAAGAAUUACUAUGGAUUUUGUGUCCGGAUUACCAUUGUCUCCGAAGAAGAAAGGUGCCAUUUGGGUGAUCGUUGAUCGAUUAACAAAAUCAGCACAUUUUAUCCCGGUACGUAUGGAUUAUUCUCUAGAUAAAUUAGCUGAACUGUAUAUAUCUGAGAUUGUUAGACUACAUGGAGUGCCUUUCUCCAUUAUAUCAGAUAGAGACCCCCGAUUUACGUCUCGUUUCUGGAACAAAUUGCAAGAAGCUUUGGGUACUCAGUUGCAUUUCAGUACUGCAUUUCAUCCUCAGACAGAUGGCCAAUCUGAGCGUGUAAUUCAGGUAUUGGAAGAUAUGCUCCGAUGUUGUGUAUUAGAAUUUCAAGGUAAUUGGGAAAGGUAUCUACCUUUAAUUGAAUUUGCUUAUAAUAACAGUUAUCAGUCCAGUAUUAAAAUGGCUCCGUAUGAAGCUUUAUAUGGUAGAAAAUGUAGAACACCAUUAUAUUGGACAGAGCUCAGUGAAAAGAAGAUACACGGGGUUGAUUUGAUCCGGGAAACAGAAGAAAAAGUAAGGCUGAUUCGAGAUAGUUUAAAAACAGCUUCCGAUCGUCAGAAGUCAUACGCCGAUCUUAAACGAAGGGAGAUUGAAUUUCAGGUGGGUGAUAAAGUAUUCUUAAAAGUGUCUCCUUGGAAGAAAGUUCUCCGGUUCGGUCGAAAGGGUAAAUUAAGUCCAAGAUUUAUCGGACCAUAUGAGAUUAUAGAAAGAAUUGGACCAGUUGCUUACCGAUUGGCUUUACCACCGGAACUCGACAAAAUUCAUAAUGUAUUUCAUGUAUCUAUGCUAUGACGGUAUCGAUCGGAUCCUUCACAUGUUAUUACUCCAACAGAAGUAGAAAUUCAGCCGGAUAUGACUUAUAAUGAAGAACCGGUUAAAGUAUUAGCACGAGAAACAAAGGAGCUUAGAAACAAAAAGGUAAAUCUGGUGAAAGUGCUAUGGCAAAAGCACGGGAUUGAGGAAGCAACAUGGGAACCGGAAGAGACAAUGAGGAAGCAAUACCCGAAUCUCUUUACUGGUAAGAUUUUCGAGGACGAAAAUCCUAAAAAGGGGGGGAGAGUUGUAAUGGCCCAAAUUUGAGGUUAUCGGAACAGUGGUUUCGGGACCACAAAUCCGAUGAGAAAAAUUUUAUUUUUCUUAUAUUUUUAUGGUCUACAAUUUCACAAAAUGAUUUUUUGAAAAUUUCGUUCGAAAAUUUCGACGUUUGGGCACUCAAUUUAGUCAAAAGGACUAAAUUGUAAAAAGUGCAAAAGUUGAGUUCUACAUGUUAGAGGUGUCCAAUUGUUAUGAAACUUUAAAUUGGAGGUCCUUAUAUGGUAAUUAUACCAUUGGUAACUUGGUAGACAAAAAUGGACAUGAGAUAAGUGAAAUAGAAAAUUUUUAAGUUAGGGGCAAUUUGGUAAUCUAGUAAUUAAAAUGAAUUAAAAGGGAAAAAGAUGGCAAAAAUCAUCAUCUUCUUCAUAUGAACGAAAUCAGCAAGGGGGGAAGCCAUAGUUAGGGUUUUCAAGCUUCCAAGCUCCAUAAUCAAGAAGUACGAAACUCGAGGUUAGACAAAGGGAAGAAUAAAGUUGAAGACUAAGUUGGUGAAUUUGGCUAUAAUUGGUACCGAGGUAAGUUUACGGUAAAUAAAUGCAAUAUUUCAAUAUUUAUUAUCAAUGCUGUUAUUUUUCAGCAACUAUGAAUUUAUUUUAUGAAUUUAUUUGAUGAUGAUCUAAGCAUGAAAUGAUAGAGAAUUAAAAUUAAAAAGUCCCGUUGAUACAUAAGGAUGGUACUGGAUACGAAUGUCAUGACAUUUGGGUAAAGAGGUCCCAUGUAAGACCAUGUCUGGGACAUGGCAUUGGCACCGAGAUGAGAGGUCCCAUGUAAGACCAUGUCUGGGACAUGGCGUUGGCACCGAGAUGAGAGGUCCCCUAUAAGACCAUGUCUGGGACAUGGCAUGGGCACCAACAUGAGAACAUCCCAUGUAAGACCAUGUCUGGGACAUGGCUUUGGCAUGUUAUUAUCAGAAGAGACCCGAGUAUCCUUAUUAUUCCAAUGUAGCUCAACGGGCUUGUAAACGAAUCAUGUUCAUGAAAGUUCAGUUUAAAGCAUAAAUGGCAAGCUCAGGUAAGUUGUAAGACUUAAGAACUUAUUAUACUAUCAAUUGAUGUUCAACGAUGCAGCAAGGAUUGAGUAAGUUAUGCACACAAGUAUUCUAAGUAAACAAGUAAGAGAACUAGUAUGAGAUUAACUAAAGAGUAAACCAGAGAUAUAGACAUUGAGUUUAAUUAUUUAAGUUAAAUAUUGUUAUUUAUUUGCUAGUAAACUUACUAAGCUUUAUGCUUACUUCUUUUAUUUCUCUUUCUC